UGAGUUUGUUAAAUGAAAAAUGCAAUUUAUUAAAAUUGUUGCUGUACUCAGCCAGUUGCUGGUGCUUUUCACAGUUGGGAAUAGCGCAAAUCGUAUCGGGAAAACAGGAAGGGAAAGAUACCUUUGGAAGGCUACUAUUGCCAAUAAACCAUUUUUGAUGGAUCGUGCUAAGAACCUGACAAUUCAUGAUCGUAUAGCUCUGAUGGAUUCAUGUAAAGGCAUUGGCGGUAAGUGUCACCUUGCCGAGGAGUGUUGCAGUUUGCAAUGCGUGAUGCCUUUUGGAGAGUGUGUGAACUAUUAAGCCGAACAAAGAAAUUAAAAACAAAACAGAAUCUGGUUAAAUCUGUUCUCAAAGAAAAUAAGAGCGCCUAUGUAUACUCUUUUUGUGAAAUAAAAAUCGGAUGAGAUUUGCCUGAGUUAUGAGAGUGCGAAA